UCCUNUGGCUUAACUGGGGGCUUGCGGUGGGUACGGNCCGGCUUGAGUGCGGUAGGGGAGACUGGAACUCCUGGUGUAGCGGUGGAAUGCGCAGAUAUCAGGAAGAACACCGGUGGCGAAGGCGGGUCUCUGGGCCGUUACUGACGCUGAGGAGCGAAAGCGUGGGGAGCGAACAGGAUUAGACACCCUGGUAGUCCACGCCGUAAACGUUGGGCACUAGGUGUGGGGGGCCUUUUCCGGGUCUUCCGCGCCGUAGCUAACGCAUUAAGUGCCCCGCCUGGGGAGUACGGCCGCAAGGCUAAAACUCAAAGGAAUUGACGGGGGCCCGCACAAGCGGCGGAGCAUGCGGAUUAAUUCGAUGCAACGCGAAGAACCUUACCAAGGCUUGACAUGUGCCGGUCGGCUCCGGAGACGGGGCUUCCUCCUUGUGGGGCCGGCUCACAGGUGGUGCAUGGUUGUCGUCAGCUCGUGUCGUGAGAUGUUGGGUUAAGUCCCGCAACGAGCGCGACCCUUGUCCCGUGUUGCCAGCACGUUGUGGUGGGGACUCGCGGGAGACUGCCGGGGUCAACUCGGAGGAAGGUGGGGAUGACGUCAAAUCACCAUGCCCCUUAUGUCUUGGGCUUCACGCAUGCUACAAUGGCCGGUACAGAGGGCUGCGAUACCGUGAGGUGGAGCGAAUCCCUUAAAGCCGGUCUCAGUUCGGAUCGGUGUCUGCAACUCGACACCGUGAAGUUGGAGUCGCUAGUAAUCGCAGAUCAGCAACGCUGCGGUGAAUACGUUCUCGGGCCUUGUACACACCGCCCGUCACGUCAUGAAAGUCGGCAACACCCG
rnacentral:rRNA from 1 species